AGGAACAUCAACCAUCAUCAUAAGUUCAUCACCAACCCUCGGACCACUUCAAGGACAUCAGGACGCGUUUCAAUCGAGAAUCAUCCACUGGAGGAACAUGAACCAUCAUCAUAAGUUCAUCACCAACCCCUGGACCACUUUAAGGACAUCAGGACGUGUUUCAAUCGAGAAUCAUCCACUGGAGGAACAUGAACCAUCAUCAUAAGUUCGUCACCAACCCCUGGACCACUUCAAGGACAUCAGGACGCGUUUCAAUCGAGGGACAUCUCAUCGUGGGAGAUCAUCGUCGCGGACAACGGGGGACCAUUUCUAACGGGUGCGAAUAGCUCCCAACGGUGAGGGUCAUCUUCCAAUGGCUGGAACCGUCUUCCAAUGGUAAGAAGUCCCUUUCAACAGCCAAGAUCGCCCCUCGCAGGUAAGACUUGUCCCUUUGCGGACAGGAACACCUUCAAGUGGUUUGAGGGUGAUCCUAUCAGCGAAAGGGUGGUACUUGUACCACAUCUUCCGCAGAUAUGAUCAUUUUUAAACAACUUGAAGGUGAUUUCUGUUUGCAAAGGGACAAGUCAAGCCUUCGAAGGGCGAUCGCAGUUGUUGUAAGGUACUUCUAACUACUUGGAAGAUAGUUCCUGGUCAUUGAAAGGUGACACUUACCACUUGGGGGGUAUACAAUCCCGCUAAAAAUGGUCCCACGCGCGGACAGGGGACCCGCGUCCCCCACCGGCGUCGAAUUACAAAAACCUUCGAUGUAGGGAUGCACCAUUCGAAAAAUAAAAAAAUUGUCUUUUUUUA